UACAUCCAACUUCUUCCGCUCUUUUCUCUCAGCCCUAAGAACAAGUUUAGGGAGAAAAAGUUUGAUAGAGUUGGAUUCUCCCCUGUGCUGAGCUGCGAGAGGUAAUCGAGAUGGGAGAUGAUGCUGUUGGUGUUGUUGGUGCUGAGAUCAACUUGAUAAGAUCCUAGAUUAAGAAGAAGUGGUGAAGUUGAAGCCCCUGCUGGUCCGAACUGAAGAAAUCUGGAAGAAGGAGCUUCGAUUUGGGGGUUAAUUAAGUCAUGAAGGAGAUGGAGUGUUUGGUGUAUUGAGCUGUGAGGAGAAAAAGGCUUGGUGGAAUUGAGGGUCCUUGUUGUUCCAAGCUGAGAAGGAUUGGAAUGAACUACGAAUUAGUAGUGGGAAUUGGUUAUUCACUGCUGCAGGAAUUAUAAAAGAGAAAGAAAGCAAAAUGCUGAAAUUCCUGCUGUGAAGGAAUUUCCUACUAGUUGGAGCUGCCGAAUUGGAGGAUUGGGCUAUUUGAAGCACUAAGAAGUGUGCUGUGAAAAGAAUGUGAAGUGCAGAAUUUCAGCAUACAAUUCUUGCUUAUUGGAGCUGAAAUAGAACUUGAUAGAGCUUUAAACUCAGUGGCUGCACAAAGGGAAGUAUUAGCGCUGAAAUUUCAGCAUGGUGCAGAUCUUACUACAAGCU